UUGAUCAUGAAACGGUUGAACGCUGGCGGGAUGCUUACAUUCAGUCAGGCAGCAGCACGGACUUCACGGUCUGGUGGCGAGUGGCGAACGGGUGAGUAUGUAUCGGAACGUGCCUAGUAGCGGGGAUAACUACGCGAAAGCGUAGCUAAUGCCGCAUACGCCCUUCGAGGAAAGCAGAGCCUUCGGGCCUCACUAACCGACAGCAGUAUCGGAUUAACGAAAGCUGAUUGGUGGAGUAACGGCUCGCAAGGCGACGAUCAUGCUGGAUUCAGAGGACGACCAGCCACCACUGGGACUGAGACACGGCCCGAACUCGGAGAGCAGCAGUGAAAUUUUGGACAAUGGAGGAAACCUGAUCCCAGCCAUCGCCCGUGUGCGAUGAAGGCCUUCAGGUUGUAAAGCACUUUUGGCAGGAAAGAAACGGCACGGGAUAAUACCCCGUGCAACUGACAGUACCUGCAGAAUAAGCACCGGCUAACUACCGUGCCAGCAGCCGCGGUAAUACGUAAGGGUGCAAGCGUUAAUCGGUACACCGGGCGUAAAGCGUGCAGGCGGUUCGGAAAGAAAGAUAUUGUAAAUCCCGAGCUUAACUUCGGAACUACAUUUUACUGAGCUAGGGGUAUCAGAGGUGGGUGCAUGUGAUGAAAUGCGUAGAUGUGCGGAAGGAUACCGAUGGUGAAGGCAGCCUCCUGGGACGCUGAAGCGCUCUUGCAGCGUGGGGGCAAACAGGAUUAGAUACCCUGGUAGUCCGCCUAAACGAUGUCAACUAGCUGUUGGGGCCUUCGGGCCUUGGUAGCGCAGCUAACGCGUGAAGUUGACCGCCUGAGGAAUACGGUCGCAAGAUUAAAACUCAAGGAAUUGACGGGGACCCGCACAAGCGGGCCGGAUGAUGUGGAUUAAUUCGAUGCAACGCAAAAAAACCUUACCUACCCUUGACAUGUCUGGAAUCCGAAGAGAUUUGGAGUGCUCGCAAGAGAACCGGAACACAGGUGCUGCAUAGCUGUCGUCAGCUCAUGUCUACUCGUGGAAUAUUUGGGUUAAGUCCUGAGCGCAACCCUUGUCAUUAGUUGCUACGAAAGGGCACUCUAAUGAGACUGCCGGUGACAAACAGAGGAAGGUGAGGAUGACGUCAAGUCAUCAUGGCCCUUAUGGGUAGGAACUACACACGUAUUACAAUGGUCGGGACAGAGGGUCGCCAACCACGAGGGCUAAUCCGAAACCCGAUCGUAGUCCGGAUCGCAGUCUGCAAACUCCGACUGCGUGAAGUCGGAAUCGCUAGUAAUCGCGGAUCAGCAUGUCGCGGUGAAUACGUUCCCGGGUCUUGUACACACCGCCGCGUCACACCAACGCAGAUUGGGUUUUGCAGAAGUAGUUAACCUAACCGUAUGAGAGGGCGAUUACCUGGUAAGUUCUGACUGGGGUGAAGUCUGUUCAAGGUAA
rnacentral:rRNA from 1 species